rnacentral:pre_miRNA from 1 species
AGCACAAUUACUGGAUUGUAUGGUCAGCCUAUAUUUACCUUUGUAAGAAACUGCCAAACUGUCUUCCAAAGUGACUGUACCAUUUUGCAUUCCCACCAGCAAU